AAGUCGUAACAAGGUCUCCGUAGGUGAACCUGCGGAGGG
rnacentral:rRNA from 1 species